rnacentral:rRNA from 1 species
GGGUAUGGGCGCAGCCUGAUCAGCCAUGCCGCGUGUGUGAAGAAGGCCUUUUGGUUGUAAAGCACUUUUGUCGAGGAGGAGGCUACUUGGAUUAAUACUCUGGGAUAGUGAACGUUACUCACAAAAUAAGCCCCGGCUAAUUCUGUGCCACCACCCGCGGUAAUACAAAGGGUGCGAGCGUUAAUCGAAUUUACGGGGCGUAAAGCGGGCGUAGGCGGCUUUUUAAAUCGGAUGUGAAAUCCCUGAGCUUAACUUAGGAAUUGCAUUCGAUACUGGGAAGCUAGAGUAUGGGAGAGGAUGGUAAAAUUCCAGGUGUAGCGGUGAAAUGCGUAGAGAUCUGGAGGAAUACCGAUGGCGAAGGCCCCCAUCUGGCCUAAUACUGACUCUGAGGUACAAAAGCGUGGGGAGCAAACAGGAUUAUAUACCCUGGUACCCCAUGCCAUAAACGAUGUCUACUAUCCGGUGGAUCCUUUGAGGUUUUAGUGGCGCAGCUAACGCAAUAAGAACACCGCCUGGGGAGUACGGCCGCAAGACUAAUCCUCGAUGUAUUUUGGACGG